GCGCGGUGCUGCAGCCGAGCCGAGCCGAGCGCGGCGCACCUGGCCCCGGGGCAGGGACGGGGCAACCUGCGGGGCGGGCCGCGGGGUCCAUAGGAGCCCCCGGCCCCGCUCAGCCGGUGGAAAGGGACCGGCCUCGGACCCGGUCCCCGGGGAUCCGCAGGAAACGGGUCCGGAAAGAGAUCCCUGGGGGUGCAGAGGAGCAGGUCCCAAGAGAGAUCUGCAGACACCCGCGAAGCGGGUCCCCGGGGAGUCCUAGACGUGGUUUACAAACACCUCGCCGCUUUCUGUCCCGUCCAAGUCGGGGUUUCCAAGCCCCUUGUGUUGCCCUCCGUCCCCGCCACCAUCAAUCAAUCACCUACCUUGUUUGUCCUGCUCCCCUUUGGUCAUCAAGGGUCUUCAGCCCGUGUGUGGUCUGGUAGGCUGUGGCUCCCGCGGAAUAGUUUCCAAGAUUGAGGUAAUAGAUCAAAUGGCACUUUGUUGCUGGGGGGGUUGUGUGUGUUUGUGUUUCCCCCCCAAGGGGCGGUUGGGGGGACAAGGGAAAAGAUUCGAAGGAAAAAAAAAAAGAUUGAAAAUUACUGAGCUCUGCUCAUUUUUUUCCCUCCCCACUUUAUUAUUAUUAUUAUUAUUAUUAUUAUUCCCCCAAUUUUUUUUUCUCCUUAAGUUUCCAGCCCAAAGUUUCUUAAAAAACAAAAAUAAAAAAAAUCUCUUGGAAAUAAUAAAUUAGAGGCUGGUUUCUCGCGAUCGAGCUGAAGAUCCUGUUUCAAACCCAGCUCGCCGGGAGCCUGAAGAAGUUGCGAGGCAGGCUCUGAAAGUUGGGAGAUGUCUGUAGAGAUGCAUGAGUCUCGAGGCUCUUUGGUGAUGCCUGGGCUUCCCGAGCAGCAGCAGCAAAAGCAAACCGAUGGCUGUGCCCUGGUGGCUUACACCCAACACCAUCUGCACCACAUAACCACGGGCUUUGCUACUGCAGCACAACUGUACAGACUUACCAUCAUCCUGAGAAAGACUGAAGUUCUUCAUCAGCCAAUUCUAUGCCAAAAUUAUGUGCCACCAAAGAUGACUAUCAAAGGAACUGAGCUAAAUGCUGUCAAGCAGUUCACCUACCUGGGAAGUGUCAUCUCAUAUAAUACCGUGAUCAACAAGGAGGUAGACUACAGACUCUCAAAAGCGAGCAGUGCCUUCACUCUAUAGGCGGGUCUGGAAUAGUCACAGCCUACAGGCAUAGGCCAAAGUCAAGGUGUACAGAGCUGUUCUUAGCUCCACUCUGAUGUACCGUGCUGAGUCAUGAGUCUUAUAUCUCUGCCAUGUACACCUCCUUGAGUGCUUUCAUCAGCACUGCCUCUGUAGCAUUCUCAGAAUCUGCUGGCAGGAUUAUGAUACCAACAUGGAGGUGUUACAAAGAGCCAAUACCACCAUUAUUGAGGCAAUUAUCCUGAAGACUCAGCUGCAGUGGGCAGACCUGGAUGGAUGACAACCACCUACCAAAGGCUGUGAUAUAUGGAGAACUAAAGAUGGAGAAAAGUGACAGAGUGUCCCCAUGCAAGUGCUUCAAGAACACUCUGAAGAGGUCCUUUUCUGCCUGUGGUGUUGAUCACAAACUGUGGGAAACACAGACUACAGCUCAUGAUGCCUAGUGGCUCCAAAUCAAAAGGACAACAGCCCUCUUUGAAUGUCAGUGCAGACCAGCAUCAAGGAGAAGCGGAGUAGGAGGAAAGAUACAGCCUCAUCUAGCAGCAAUCAGCCAUUACACAUGUAACCAUUGCAGCAGGGUUUGCCUCUAUGGAACUGGACUGAUUAGUCACCAGCAGGCCUGCAACCGGCACGAGCAGUUACCUUCCUAACAUCUUCGUUUGUGAAGAACCACCGAGAAUUUAUAAUCAUUAGAAUGACUUCAACAAGGAAGACUGAUAAAGUUCACCCCAGAAUACCCAGUACUCAGACUAGUCUUCAUCUUCUUGAUUUUGAUUAAGUUCAAAGUUUGGUUCUUUCAGGGGGGGCCUCAUAGAUCUAAUGUAUUAUUAUAUAUCCAAAG
ensembl:lncRNA